GACGAACGCUGGCGGCGUGCUUAACACAUGCAAGUCGAACGAAGAGCGAUGGAUGCUUGCUUCUAUCAAUCUUAGUGGCGAACGGGUGAGUAACGCGUAAUCAACCUGCCCUUCAGAGGGGGACAACAGUUGGAAACGACUGCUAAUACCGCAUACGAUCUAACCUCGGCAUCGAGGAUAGAUGAAAGGUGGCCUCUACAUGUAAGCUAUCACUGAAGGAGGGGAUUGCGUCGGAUUAGCUAGUUGGAGGGGUAACGGGCCACCAAGGCGAUGAUCAGUAGCCGGUCUGAGAGGAUGAACGGCCAAAAUGGGACUGAGACACGGCCCAGACUCCUACGGGAGGCAGCAGUGGGGAAUCUUCCGCAAUGGACGAAAGUCUGACGGAGCAACGCCGCGUGAGUGAUGACGGCCUUCGGGUUGUAAAGCUCUGUUAAUCGGGACGAAAGGCCUUCUUGCGAAUAGUGAGAAGGAUUGACGGUACCGGAAGAGAAAGCCACGGCUAACUACGUG
rnacentral:rRNA from 1 species